rnacentral:rRNA from 1 species
UACGGGGGGAGCAAGCGUUGUUCGGAUUUACCGGGCGUAAAGGGCGCGUAGGCGGCCACCGCAAGUCAAUUGUGAAAUCUCCGGGCUUAACUCGGAAAGGUCAACUGAUACUGCGGGGCUAGAGUGCGGAAGGGGCAACUGGAAUUCUCGGUGUAGCGGUGAAAUGCGUAGAUAUCGAGAGGAACACCUGCGGCGAAGGCGGGUUGCUGGGCCGACACUGACGCUGAUGCGCGAAAGCCAGGGGAGCGAACGGG